rnacentral:lncRNA from 1 species
CAGGACUCCUUUUAGGUCGCUGGCAGGGAGCAUGACAUGAAUAUCCAUUAAAACUCAGAAAACUGGAGCCACAUUCUCUGAGGAGAGCUGUGUUGUCCUGUGAUCUCAGCAGCAACCACGGUCCCGGUCCUGUACCUCAACAUGUUUAAGAUCUGCCAGUCAGGAAGCGGGUAGGAGGGUUAAUGAGGCUGCCUCUGGUCUGCUGGACGCACUGAGCAUUGCAUGGCUGCAGAAGAGGAAGAGCCUUUCUGAAGUGUGAGCCAAACAGUGUGGGAAGUUCUGAAAGGAUUCAGCCAUCCAAAUCCAUUUACACUGCAAACAGUGUCACAACCAUAAUGGCCACUGUGAUUAAAAAGAAACUGGCAUUGAUGAAGGCUGAGACUGAGCUUGACCCAGAUCUCCCCAACACCAGCAUCUCAAGUCAAAGGCUCUAUAUUUUGAUUCUUCUCAUCACUCAGUGCCAUGCCUUCCAAUUUAGGGAUGCGGAAAGAAGCAGUAUGCAUCCCAAAUGUGGAGGCAGCAGAGUCAGUGAUGCCUUUACCUCUGUCAGUGAGUGUGGAGGGCCAGAGGCAGCUGGGUUGGGGAGUGAGUCAGACCCAGCUGCAGACUUAUGAUACAACCUGGCACAGGUACCCUUUCCGGCAGGCAGACUGUGGUCUCAGGACCUCCCAGCACCUGCAAUUCAUCCCAGUCCUUGGUUGGAGAGGAAUGUAGGCCUACCAUCAACAUCCCUGCCUAAGAGCUAGUGGACUGCCACAAGUCACAGCCUCAGACCCAGAGAUGUGACUGAGCUAAUAAAUCUCCCCUCUGCUGCCCACAGUAUCCCUAUUAUACUAAGUGUUAGAUAAGAUACUUAUUAGACACUUGCC